UGAAGAAGAAACCUACCUU
rnacentral:snRNA from 1 species